UCAUUCAAAGCAGCGUCGGAGCUGCAUGCACGGGGCGUCCCUUACGAGGCUGGACUGUUUACUUACGCCCACGCCCACCCGAACGAACGAAUGAGAGAGAUAGAGCACUUAUUGUGCAGAUUCAGCCAAGUAAAAGCUUCUUCGAGUAAGAAGUAGAAGAAGAGGAGGAGAGGUGCUGCUACAUGAUGAAGCGCACUAUCGCAGAGAGAUGCAUCAACGCAUGCAUGCAUGAGAUUCCGAGACGGAUGCUCGCAUUUGAGUCGGUGUGGAGGGUUCUCGCUGUUAUCAGGAAGGAAGGAAGGAACAACACCUUGCUCCUCAUGAUUUUGUGUUUUUGCUUCCACUGAUAGCUUUCCAGUGGCGAAUUUUGCUGCUGGGUGAUCGUAAAACCAAUGUAUUGGACAGGAGUGUAGCUCAUAGGACUAACUGCAGCUCCUUUUUUAAGUCUCCUGAAGGCAAAGAGAACACGAGACAGGAAGGAUUCAACUUCACAAGCUUGCGGCGAUGGAGUGCGGAGCGAAUGUGAGAAGGAGCACAGAGCCACAUAAACAUGGCGCAACCGUAGAGAGGGAAAGGUAGAGGUCGCUGGAUGUGUGUUAGAUUUUCAAGUGCAGAUCAUGCGACGAGAAUUUGCGUCCCACGAGUUAGUCUCCCCGGAAUUGUGCUGGAUGGUGACGGAUUCACGAUGUGAUGAGAAAUUGCAGCAUCUCGAUCGGAACAAGAUUGAUGACGUGAUCGAUUGCGAACCAUGUGGCGAAUGUGCGGAAAUCGGUGCGCGGGGAAAUCUCGUCACUCGAUCGGACAGGACGUGAUAUCCCGAAAUGUAUGACAGCGCAGACCGAGAAGCCGCUGAUGUCUGCGGAACUCGAAACUAGUUUUAGCAAGUAGCGGAUGGAACCCUAAAACCUGCUUCACAUUCCUGGGCUGCUUCUUUAGAUAGACGUUAGAAUUAAGCCAAUUGUUCUGCAGAGUGUGCGUUAUCCACUCCCAUUCUGAUUCAGAACCUUGGCAUCCCCGAGCUUCGGAACGAGCUUCAGGGGUUGUCGUUGUCCCGCAUGCUAUUCCUGCCAGAAUCUCCUGGGUUCCUGCAGUCUCGUUAGAUUAAACAAAAUAUGUUUGGGUGUCGUUAAAUUUCCUUGUUGGUCGACUGCACAGAAUGGAGGAUUGUUCUUAGAAGAACUUGAUGGUCAUGUGAUAAAACUGGAAGCCAGUCAGUGAGGGAGUGCUAUGGGGACACUCUGUGGGGUGCAGCGAUCGUCUCUGCUGAAGCCAAGCUGCUCUCGACUGUAAUCUUGGUAAUCUAAUUGUAGUGCCGUUCAGAGCACUCUUGAUUUGCGGGAUCUUUUCUCGGGAGACAGAAGCCACAUUGGAGUGUGUGCGAAUCGACGCAUUGGCCAACUUUCCCGACGAUCAUGGUUGCCCAGCUUGGGAGAGCGUCGCGAAGUACGUUGAUUGGCAUCAUGUGAAGUUUAUUUUUCGGCUGAAAAGCAGCAAUGGUAGCACUGCAGGGGUUGGACAUUGGGCUACAUGACAAGGAACUUGAGUUACUGCAGUCACUUAACAGGAAUUUGCGUGAGUCCAGAUGGGAAAAAGCUGAGGAGUAGCAUGGGCAUUGUCCUUGCAACCGAAAGCCGCAUCGUCGGAGGCGGAGGUUGAGGCCGUGACACUGCCAGAGCUAGAUAUGAUGAGGUCUCCAAAAGGAGGGGAGAAGAGCUGAAUUAGGCUCACUUUCAUUUGGAGAGCGGUGAAUCUUUCCUCUGUAUUCGGUUGCAUUCACCCCUCUGACGGUUGGCACCUCCUCCGCCUAUAACUUCGAAGGAAUUUUCCCACUCCAGAGAGUAGUGCUACAGCGCUGCGCGCGCAUGUCCUGCCCUGGGGAUCGUAAGAGCUGCGCAUCAAGUUGGUGAAAUGCGAGUUGUUGAUCUCCUUUCUGUUGCCAUUCUCUGUGUCAUGUUUACCUGGUUUGACUCCCCUCCUACAUUGGUUAGCUUUGGAAUGUGGAUGAUAUGAGCGAAAUUACUAAAUUGACUUGGAAGUGGUAGAGUUUAAUAUAAAGGUGAAGAAGGGAAAAUGUCAAAUGAUCCCGAUUCGAGGUUGAACAUGAAGCAACUAUUGAAUCACCUGGCAUAUUUUGCAGCCUGUUGUUGCAUUGGCUCCAUCACAUUUUUGAAGCCCAGCAUGGUGGUUCCUUGGUGCAGUCGACACGACUUUUGCAGUGUCCUCUAUUUCGUCUUAGUUGAAAUGGCCUUGGGGAACCGCUAUGCUUCGUGGCAUUCGGUUCAUCAAGUGCUUUUCAUUUAUCCCUGCCAUGCCAGUGACGCUGACCCUGAUCGAAGGUAGCGUUGUGGUAGAGAUCACUACCUCACUCAUCCUCCUCUGCCAGCCACUUCCGUCAGGCAUUCUCGUUAUUGAAACUGCCAACCGGGAGACUGGUGUCGGAGUUCAAUGGCAAGAAUCACGCUAACAAAAGCCUGCUGAUCGUCAUGGAAAAAAAUACUACUGCGUACAGCUUCACGUUUCACUUGGAGUUGCUUCUAAGUCUUGGCUUUGCGCUCCCUUCUAGAUUAUCAGCGAUGUUUUGGUGAAGCAAUAUAGGUGAAAAGAUCAUUGCAAGCUUCUGAUGGUAGCGACACGAUUUGCAGUCAGGGGCUUUCAAAAGAAGAGGAGCCAGGCAUGCGCACAACUCAUCCCUCGCAUUUGGUGGAAAUCGUCAUCUGCUCGUUUUGUAUCGAGAACUUGCUAGCUACUCGAAGCUACAUUGUCUGCACAUCUUUAGUUUUUUGCCAAGCUUCUACUGGCAUUUCCAAUUCUGAAGGAGUCAACGCUACAACCAGAACAUGGUUUCCGCGUGUUCAUCAAGGCCUUUUACACACUGUUUUUGCGCUUUCCCUGUAUUUUGCAACGUGUGUUGAAGAACACACCUCUCCAGAACGUAGACUUCCGUUCUAGUCCAUCAGUGUCAGACAUUCAGAUACUGCACAAUGGAAUAGGACAUGCAGUGGGUCAAACAUUCAGCUUUCUAACUACACAUCCUUCAGAAGAUCUGUUUUCUUUUCUUUUCUGUAUUCUCUCAUAAUUCUAUUUAUAUUCACUCUGGAAACCUUAGGAACCCGAUUCCGCGCAUGGUAUAUCCACACAGUCCCUAGAUUUACUUGCAUGCUGUUCGACCCUCUGGACAGAUGAGAUGGGUUCAUGUCCAGCUUCCACCCAACUAUGAACUCAAGUCCAACACAUAUGGUAUCAAACUAUGUCCAGGAGUAGCAAUAAAACAUUAUAAUUAUAAUUAUAAUAGAAUUGAAACAAA